CCUACGGGAGGCAGCAGUGGGGAAUAUUGGACAAUGGGCGCAAGCCUGAUCCAGCAAUGCCGCGUGUGUGAAGAAGGCCUGCGGGUUGUAAAGCACUUUUGUUCGGGAAGAAAUCAUGCUGGUUAAUACCUGGUAUGGAUGACGGUACCGAAAGAAUAAGCACCGGCUAACUUCGUGCCAGCAGCCGCGGUAAUA
rnacentral:rRNA from 1 species